UACGGAGGGGGCGAGCGUUGCUCGGAAUUACUGGGCGUAAAGGGCGCGUAGGCGGCGCAAUUAGUCAGGCGUGAAAGCCCCGGGCUCAACCUGGGAACAGCGCUUGAUACUGUUGUGCUAGAGUACGGAAGAGGGUAGUGGAAUUCCCAGUGUAGAGGUGAAAUUCGUAGAUAUUGGGAAGAACACCAGUGGCGAAGGCGGCUACCUGGUCCGGUACUGACGCUGAGGCGCGAAAGCGUGGGGAGCAAACAGG
rnacentral:rRNA from 1 species